rnacentral:rRNA from 1 species
GACGAACGCUGGCGGCGUGCUUAACACAUGCAAGUCGAACGGAAAGGCCCAAGUUUGUUGGAUAAUUCGAGUGGCGAAGGGGUGAGUAACACGGGGUUAAUCUGCCUUGCACUCGGGGAUAAGCCUGGGAAACUGGGCCUAUUACGGGAUAUGACCUUCCUCCUAAUGGGGUUGGGUGGAAAGUUUUUCGGUGUAGGAUGAGCCCGCGGCCUAUCAGCUUGUUGGUGGGGUGAUGGCCUACCAAGGCGACGACGGGUAGCCGGCCUGAGAGGGUGAUCGGCCACAUUGGGACUGAGAUACGGCCCAGACUCCUACGGGAGGCAGCAGUGGGGAAUAUUGCACAAUGGGCGGAAGCCUGAUGCAGCGACGCCGCGUGAGGGAUGACGGCCUUCGGGUUGUAAACCUCUUUCAGCAGGGACGAAGCGUAAGUGACGGUACCUGCAGAAGAAGCACCGGCUAACUAUGUG